CAGGUGAGUAAGCGGCCGGUCUAGCUCCUGGAGUGUCACGGUUUCAUUGCCGCUGCCUCUCAGAACUACUGGAUGCUGAGACGAAGGGGAGAAAGAAAGAAAAAGAAAAAGAGAGAGAGAGAGAGAGAGAACCCGACCCGAUUGUCUUUUGUAAUGAGAGAAACCCUUUUACUUCCGGCGCCGUGAGAUCCGAGUGUUGUUAGGAGAAGUUUCUUGAGGUGAGUACUUGGCUGUGACCUCCUUUUCCCGCGGCGGAGGCGGGCGGGGCGCGGCGCUGCGAGGUGAAACAAGGU